CGUAACGCGUAUGCAAUCUACCUUUUACAGAGGGAUAGCCCAGAGAAAUUUGGAUUAAUACCUCAUAGCAUUGCACAAUGGCAUCAUUCAGCAAUUAAAGUCACAACGGUAAAAGAUGAGCAUGCGUCCCAUUAGCUAGUUGGUUAAGGUAACGGCUUACCAAGGCUACGAUGGGUAGGGGUCCUGAGAGGGAGAUCCCCCACACUGGUACUGAGACACGGACCAGACUCCUACGGGAGGCAGCAGUGAGGAAUAUUGGACAAUGGGCGCAAGCCUGAUCCAGCCAUGCCGCGUGCAGGAUGACGGUCCUAUGGAUUGUAAACUGCUUUUAUACGAGAAGAAACACUGCUUCGUGAAGCAGCUUGACGGUAUCGUAAGAAUAA
rnacentral:rRNA from 1 species